UCAAAGGAGGUAGUCUGUGGUGUUUUGGCAGGUAGCCUUGUUCAGAUGUUCGUAGAGAUAUGAUAAGGAUGGACAAUACCAGGAUCUUUUGGCAGGAAAACUCCAGUGGGAAACUUUGGUGAGAACUUCUGGUGGAAAACUGACACAGAAGUUUUGGUAGGAAGCUUUUGGCAGGCAGAAACAAUGGCGAAACAUAACUUUUGGCAUUUGUAUGUUAUCUGUCUGUUACACAUGAGUAGACCUCUGGGUCUGCAAG